CAUGAUCGCAGAGCGCCACUUGGUACUAUUUGGUGCGUACGUGCCGCUUAUUCAUCCUGCGUACCCUUGCGCUUUUUAACUCGACGCUUCUCCUACCUCCUCCUGCAGAUUCAACCAACGAGUCUCUCUCUCUCUCUCUCUCUCUCUCCCCCCAAAUGAUCCGGUCUAGAGUUAGGGUUUUUCUGCUCUCGAUCUGGCUCCUCUUUCAUGAAUCUUCAAGCACCUCGCAUUCUUCUUCCUCAUUGACCAUUUCUUCCAAUAGAGUCGAACAGAUCUCAUGGAAACCCAGAGCUUUCGUCUAUGAAGGAUUCCUCACUGAUGAAGAAUGUGAUCAUAUGAUAUCUAUUGCGAAGUCGGAUCUCAAGAGAUCAGCAGUUGCAGAUAAUGUGUCGGGAAAAAGCCAUCUCAGUGAGGUCCGCACAAGCUCUGGGAUGUUUGUACCUAAGGGAAAGGACAUGGUUGUUGCAAGAAUAGAAGACAAGAUUGCAGCCUGGACGUUUCUCCCUGUAGAAAAUGGUGAAGACAUACAGGUACUAAGAUAUGAGCAUGGUCAAAAAUACGAUCCUCACUACGAUUACUUCUCUGACAAGGUUAAUAUUGUUCGGGGUGGGCACCGUAUUGCCACUGUACUCAUGUAUCUUUCCAAUGUCACAAAAGGCGGCGAAACUGUAUUUCCAUCAGCAGAGGGGGAGUCCCCGCAUAAGGAUGAGGAUUUAUCGGAAUGUGCGAGAAAGGGAAUUGCAGUAAAACCAAAAAGAGGGAAUGCACUUCUUUUCUUCAACCUCAAGGCAAACGGCACACCAGAUCCUCUGAGUCUCCAUGCUGGAUGUCCAGUGAUAGAAGGUGAGAAAUGGUCGGCAACAAAGUGGAUACAUGUUAGCUCGUUUGACAAGAUCAUAGAUGCUGGUGAUUGCAAAGAUGAGAACGAACAUUGUGAGAGGUGGGCCGCGCUUGGAGAGUGCUGGAAGAACCAGGAAUAUAUGGUGGGGUCUACAGAGGUUCCUGGUGCGUGUAGGAGGAGCUGUAAGGUGUGUUAGGGAAGAGUUCUUUUUGGUUUUCCUCAUGGAGCAUGUGUCGUAGUUUUCUCAUGGGUUGUUAAUCUAUUGUUUUUUUUUUUUUUUCCUGUGGCGAGUUCCAGUGCUGCUGGCUGGUCCACCUUGUAGUGUGAGCUAAUUUCUUCACUGAGGUGCAAUCACCACCAAACAUUGCUAUCUGAGCUGCUGAUCUGGCACCGGUGACCAAAUGGACCUGCAGUUUUGCCCAAAGAUGUGUGGACCACAAGCUGAAUUAUGACACGUGGGAUAUGUGCAAGUGCUAGAGAAUUCAAAUAAAAUUCUAGAUUUUUUAUUUA